rnacentral:rRNA from 1 species
GGGCCCGCACAAGCGGUGGAGCAUGUGGUUCAAUUCGACGCAACGCGAAGAACCUUACCUGGGCUCGAAGCGCAGUGGACCGGGGUGGAAACAUCCCUUUCCGCAAGGACUGCUGCGGAGGUGCUGCAUGGCUGUCGUCAGCUCGUGUCGUGAGAUGUUGGGUUAAGUCCCGCAACGAGCGCAACCCUUAUCCCUAGUUGCCAGCGAGUAAUGUCGGGCACUCUAGUGAAACCGCCCCGGAUAACGGGGAGGAAGGUGGGGAUGACGUCAAGUCCUCAUGGCCUUUAUGUCCAGGGCUACACACGUGCUACAAUGGUCGGUACAAACCGUCGCAAACCUGCGAAGGGGAGCUAAUCGGAAAAAGCCGGCCUCAGUUCGGAUUGGAGUCUGCAAUUCGACUCCAUGAAGCUGGAAUCGCUAGUAAUCGCGGAUCAGAACGCCGCGGUGAAUACGUUCCCGGGCCUU